rnacentral:rRNA from 1 species
GAUGAACGCUGGCGGCGUGCCUAAUACAUGCAAGUCGAGCGAACGGAUGAGAAGCUUGCUUCUCUGAUGUUGGCGGCGGACGGGUGAGUAACACGUGGAUAACCUACCUAUAAGACUGGGAUAACUUCGGGAAACCGGAGCUAAUACCGGAUAAUAUUUUGAACCGCAUGGUUCAAAAGUGAAAGACGGUCUUGCUGUCACUUAUAGAUGGAUCCGCGCUGCAUUAGCUAGUUGGUAAGGUAACGGCUUACCAAGGCAACGAUGCAUAGCCGACCUGAGAGGGUGAUCGGCCACACUGGAACUGAGACACGGUCCAGACUCCUACGGGAGGCAGCAGUAGGGAAUCUUCCGCAAUGGGCGAAAGCCUGACGGAGCAACGCCGCGUGAGUGAUGAAGGUCUUCGGAUCGUAAAACUCUGUUAUUAGGGAAGAACAUAUGUGUAAGUAACUGUGCACAUCUUGACGGUACCUAAUCAGAAAGCCACGGCUAACUACGUG